AUAUACUGAUCUGAUUACAGCAAAGACAAUGUCGGCAGUAUUGACGGCAAAAUAGGCUCCAGAAUAUUUCCUUCUGUAUUGACAGGUGCAGUAUUUGAAAAUCGAUCAUUAUUGGGGGCCAAGCAGCGAAGCUCCAAGGCCCCAUUGUGGUUCUACUUAUUACACAUCUUUCCUCUGCCAUGGGAGUCUAUGGCAGCCAAUGGAACCGUACAGUACAAAGUUGUGAAAUUUGGCACAUUGAUUCGGUACAGUCCCAUAAUUAAUUUCACCAAGUUUGGGGUCUGCACCACAGGCAGUCUAGCGCCACCAAUGGGUCAAAGUUGGCGUUGCAUCCAUACGAUUAACUUUUGAACCGUAUGCCCCGAUUUUGAACAUCGAGAUAUAGUUGGAGUCCUUGGAUGACACCAAACUCAACGCACGCCAUGAUGCCCGUAUAUGUUUGGCACGGUGGUUAAAGGCGUCAUUCGCCAAGGACAUUUCGUGAACAUUUUGUAUCUCUUUGUGGGAUGUUAAAAGAAUAACACUCCAAAAGAUUAACCCUCCUGUUUUCCUCGAGUCAAAAUUUUUUACCAAUUUUCAAAAUUUCUAUAUUAGAAAUUUGGGUUUCUUUCAACUGAAUUAUUAAAAAAAAAAAAAAAAGAACAGGGAUGGUUCCAUGCGACGCUCUUCAGAAGCAAAGUAAAUGAUCAGUGAAUUUGGGUGUUUUCUUCAAUAUUUAUAGCAUUCGGAAAAAAAUUGGUAAAAUACAAAAAUGUUCAUCGAAACAGGUGACGAAAAAGUUAAGAAAAGCGACAAAAAGAAAAGAGAAUAAAGGACUUUAAGGUUGAACGCGGUGUUAGUCGUUGUUGACGUGACGUGAAAUAUUUUGAUAAACAUAUAAAACACA